rnacentral:rRNA from 1 species
UGCAGCGACAUACCGCGUGAGGGACGAAGGCCUGUGGGUUGUAAACCUCUUUUCUCAGGGAAGAAGAUCUGACGGUACCUGAGGAAUCAGCAUCGGCUAACUCCGUGCCAGCAGCCGCGGUAAGACGGAGGAUGCAAGCGUUAUCCGGAAUUAUUGGGCGUAAAGCGUCCGCAGGCGGUCUCGUAAGUCUGUCUUUAAAGCGUGGAGCUUAACUCCAUAAAGGGGAUGGAAACUGCGAGACUAGAGGUAGGUAGGGGUAGAAGGAAUUCCCAGUGUAGCGGUGAAAUGCGUAGAUAUUGGGAAGAACACCAGCAGCGAAGGCGUUCUACUGGACCAAACCUGACGCUCAUGGACGAAAGCUAGGGGAGCGAAAGGGAUUAGAUACCUCUGUAGUCA